rnacentral:rRNA from 1 species
GGUUAAGCGACUAAGCGUACACGGUGGAUGCCCUGGCAGUCAGAGGCGAUGAAGGACGUGCUAAUCUGCGAUAAGCGCCGGUAAGGUGAUAUGAACCGUUAUAACCGGCGAUUUCCGAAUGGGGAAACCCAGUGUGACUCGUCACACUAUCAUUAACUGAAUCCAUAGGUUAAUGAGGCGAACCGGGGGAACUGAAACAUCUAAGUACCCCGAGGAAAAGAAAUCAACCGAGAUUCCCCCAGUAGCGGCGAGCGAACGGGGAGGAGCCCAGAGCCUGAAUCAGCAUGUGUGUUAGUGGAAGCGUCUGGAAAGGCGCGCGAUACAGGGUGACAGCCCCGUACACAAAAGCGCAUGUGUUGUGAGCUCGAUGAGUAGGGCGGGACACGUGGUAUCCUGUCUGAAUAUGGGGGGACCAU